CAGAUCUGUAAAAUGGGCAGCUGAAGAAUUCAAUGAAGAGCACCUUACACAAAGCCUGGUUCAGAAGGGCACUCACAAGCAACCACUGCUCUUCUUAAUGAUUUCCUCUGCUAUUGAAGACCUUUCCUGGCUCAAAUUCAGAGACAAAUCUAAACAAAAUAGCCAAGGAAGGGAACAUCAGAGAAGCAGCCCACUUGAAAUAGAUCCUAUAGAACAGAUGUCAAGAAUUUGAGCAUCUUUUAUCUGUAUCAGUAAACAAGCCAAAACAAGGAGCAUGCAAAGAAAGAA
rnacentral:lncRNA from 1 species